UACGGAGGGUGCAAGCGUUAUCCGGAUUCACUGGGUUUAAAGGGUGCGUAGGCGGGUAUGUAAGUCAGUGGUGAAAUCCUGGAGCUUAACUCCAGAACUGCCAUUGAUACUAUAUAUCUUGAAUAUUGUGGAGGUUUGCGGAAUAUGUCAUGUAGCGGUGAAAUGCUUAGAUAUGACAUAGAACACCUAUGCGAAGGCAGCAGGCUACACAUAUAUUGACGCUGAGGCACGAAAGCGUGGGAGUCAAAC
rnacentral:rRNA from 1 species